UACGUAGGUGGCAAGCGAUACUCGGAAUCACUAGGCGUAAAGCGCAGGUAGGCGGUUUGGUAAGUCUUUUGUGAAAGCUCCCGGCUCAACUGGGAGAGGUCAAGGGAAACUACCGGACUAGAGUGUGGUAGGGGAUACUGGAAUUCCAGGUGUAGCGGUGAAAUGCGUAGAUAUCUGGAGGAACACCGGUGGCGAAGGCGGCAUCCUGGACCGGCAUUG
rnacentral:rRNA from 1 species